GCAAGUCGAACGGUAACAUGAACUAGCUUGCUAGUUUGAUGACGAGUGGCGGACGGGUGAGUAAUGCUUGGGAAUUUGCCUUGAGGUGGGGGACAACAGUUGGAAACGACUGCUAAUACCGCAUAUUGUCUACGGACGAAAGGGGGCUUCGGCUCUCGCCUUUAGAGAAGCCCAAGUGGGAUUAGGUAGUUGGUGAGGUAAAGGCUCACCAAGCCGACGAUCCCUAGCUGGUCUGAGAGGAUGAUCAGCCACACUGGAACUGAGACACGGUCCAGACUCCUACGGGAGGCAGCAGUGGGGAAUAUUGCACAAUGGGGGAAACCCUGAUGCAGCCAUGCCGCGUGUGUGAAGAAGGCCUUCGGGUUGUAAAGCACUUUCAGUCGUGAGGAAGGGUUAGUAGUUAAUACCUGCUAGCUUUGACGUUAGCGACAGAAGAAGCACCGGCUAACUCCGUGCCAGCAGCCGCGGUAAUACGGAGGGUGCGAGCGUUAAUCAGAAUUACUGGGCGUAAAGCGUACG
rnacentral:rRNA from 1 species